rnacentral:rRNA from 1 species
GACGAACGCUGGCGGCGUGCUUAACACAUGCAAGUCGAACGGAAAGGCCUGCUUUUUCUUGUGUAUUCCGGGUACUCGAGUGGCGAACGGGCGCGUAACACGUGCGUGUUCUGCCCCCAUCUUGGGUAUAAGCCUGGGCAACUAGGUCUAAUUCCCGAUAGGACUGCAGGGUGGUGCCUGUGGUGGUAAAUGUUCUUCUAGUGCUCGGGGAUGCGCCCGCGGCUUAUCAGCUUGUUGGUGGGGUACUGGCCUACCAAGGCGGCGACGGGAAGCCGGCCUGGGAGGGUGGACGGCCACAUUGGGACGGAGAUACGGCCCAGACGCCUACGGGAGGCAGCAGUGGGGAAGAUUGCACAAUGGGCGUAAGCCUGAAGCAGCGAGGCCGCGUGGGAGAUGACGGCCGGCGGAUGGUAAACUCCUUGCGACCACGAGGAAGCCACCUGGUUGGAAGGGUGGUGACGGUAGUGGGAGAAGAAGCACCGGCUAACUACGUG